rnacentral:rRNA from 1 species
AGUGAACGCUGGCGGUAGGCCUAACACAUGCAAGUCGAACGGCAGCACAGUAAGAGCUUGCUCUUACGGGUGGCGAGUGGCGGACGGGUGAGGAAUACAUCGGAAUCUACUUUUUCGUGGGGGAUAACGUAGGGAAACUUACGCUAAUACCGCAUACGACCUACGGGUGAAAGCAGGGGAUCUUCGGACCUUGCGCGAUUGAAUGAGCCGAUGUCGGAUUAGCUAGUUGGCGGGGUAAAGGCCCACCAAGGCGACGAUCCGUAGCUGGUCUGAGAGGAUGAUCGGCCACACUGGAACUGAGACACGGUCCAGACUCCUACGGGAGGCAGCAGUGGGGAAUAUUGGACAAUGGGCGCGAGCCUGAUCCAGCCAUACCGCGUGGGUGAAGAAGGCCUUCGGGUUGUAAAGCCCUUUUGUUGGGAAAGAAAAGCAGCAGGUUAAUACCCCGCUGUUCUGACGGUACCCAAAGAAUAAGCACCGGCUAACUUCGUG